rnacentral:rRNA from 1 species
UGGGGAAUUUUGGACAAUGGGCGAAAGCCUGAUCCAGCAAUGCCGCGUGAGUGAAGAAGGCCUUAGGGUUGUAAAGCUCUUUCGCCCGCGAAGAUAAUGACGGUAGCGGGAGAAGAAGCCCCGGCUAACUCCGUGCCAGCAGCCGCGGUAAUACGGAGGGGGCUAGCGUUGUUCGGAAUUACUGGGCGUAAAGCGUACGUAGGCGGAUGCGCAAGUUGGGGGCGAAAUCCCGGGGCUUAACCUCGGAAUUGCCCUCAAAACUGCACGUCUUGAGACCGAGAGAGGUAAGGGGAAUUCCUAGUGUAGAGGUGAAAUUCGUAGAUAUUAGGAAGAACACCAGUGGCGAAGGCGCCUUACUGGCUCGGUACUGACGCUGAGGUACGAAAGCGUGGGGAGCAAACA